rnacentral:tRNA from 1 species
GGCCAUUUAUCUUUUAGGAAAGAAAAUGUUUUGAAAGCAUCUUAAAAGGGUUCGAAUCCCUUAAUAGCCU